rnacentral:rRNA from 1 species
UACGAAGGGGGCUAGCGUUGCUCGGAAUUACUGGGCGUAAAGCGCACGUAGGCGGCUUUCUAAGUCGGGGGUGAAAUCCUGGAGCUCAACUCCAGAACUGCCUUCGAUACUGGAGAGCUCGAGUCCGGGAGAGGGGGGUGGAAUUCCCAGUGUAGCGGUGAAAUGCGUAGAUAUUGGGAGGAACACCGGUGGCGAAGGCGGCCCCCUGGACCGGUACUGACGCUGAGGCGCGAAAGCGUGGGUAGCAAACGGG